rnacentral:rRNA from 1 species
CACGUAGGGUGCGAGCGUUGUCCGGAAUUAUUGGGCGUAAAGAGCGUGUAGGCGGCCUGACAGGUCUGCUGUGAAAACUCGAGGCUCAACCUCGAGAUGUCGGCGGAAACCGUCUGGCUAGAGUCCGGAAGAGGAGAGUGGAAUUCCUGGUGUAGCGGUGAAAUGCGCAGAUAUCAGGAAGAACACCUAUGGCGAAGGCAGCUCUCUGGGACGGUACUGACGCUGAGACGCGAAAGCGUGGGGAGCGAACAGG